UCAAAACCAAUCUCAGAAUGGCCUUGGUUCCAUUAGCAUGGAUGAUUUUUUGAAAAACAUCUACUUGUCCCCACCACCGCCACCAACUACUUCUGACGCUCACCUGCAAUUUCCCGGUGCAUCCAUCACUCUCACUUUUUUUGUCUCUGUUUGAUUAUCGAGAAACAUAGGAAACUCGUAAUAAUAAAACUCAUAGCUCCAUUUUUUUCUUUUGGUAAACAAAACGAAAGUUUCAGAUUUUUUUUUCUUUUGAUGGAGAUGCUCUACUGUUUUAGACCUGUACUUAAUGGUUAGAUUCUGUUUUCUCUUUUGUAGAUUCUCAAAUGAUUUUAUCAUUUGAAAUUUGAGCUUGAUUCAAUUUUUUCUUUGUUUUGCUCUUUGAACGUAACAAACAUCUGAAAAAUCAGCACCAUGGUUUCCUUGGAAAUGUCAAAGCGGAAGGUGUGCUCUGGUUACUAUAGUAAUCUCUGCUGUUAUAAGUCUGGUAAGUAAGAGACAAGCCUGUGUUGGAACAUUUUUAAAACUAGAUUAUGCCACAUUUUAUGCUUCAAUGGAAGUUGGAUCAUUAAUUUACUGUUUGCAACUCUUAUCAAAUCUACCAGAAUAAAAAGAUAUUGGUAUCCUAUAAAGAUCUUUGGUUGUAAUAAGAAAGAUUUUCUUCUUUGGACCAUCACAGGUACUACAACUCUAUUUCUUGGAAUUGAGAUUGGUGUCUUUUUUGGGGUAAGAAAUUUAGAUAUAAUUAAUUAAGAGGUAUAAUUUUUAUUUUAUUUUGAUACUUCAGGUAGGUGUUUCGCUUGCCUUUGUCAUUCACGAAUCGGCAAAUCCUCAUUCAGAGCAUAUGCAGAUAAGACCUAACGAGAUCUGCAAAAUAAUCCAGAUAUGUGGUUUCAAGUUGUGCACAUCUUGCAGUUGACAAUGAGCCUAAAUGCCAAGUUCUUUACCUUGCAGGUCAGUCGAAAAACUAUUUGCUUUUUAAUCUAUAAUUACUAUUAAGUUAAACUUACUUAAGAGAAUUCUAGUUGAAAUUCCUAUGUUGUGUACAGUGCUUGUUCCUGAUAAUUUGGUCUUGCCGCUGUAGCUGACUAGUUGAUUGAUAAUCUGGUCUGGUGUUUGGUUUGGUCCCUUUUUGCAUUGCUGCAGUUUCUAACUUAUUGGUGGACUUCUCAAGCAAGUGGAUUUAUGAUGGAAUAUAAUUGCACAUGCUCUAAAUUGUAAAUAGAUAUUUGAAUAGGUCACAUUUGGUUCUUCUUGAAAUUAAGAUCAAGUUUUCUUUUUCUAACAUAGUUCCGACUUGUUGUGUGAAAGAAUAGGCUUGCCUCUUCACCCAAGUCUUCAACAAAUGAUAGCAACGUUGGGUAGAAAAGGUCCACUUGGCUGAGAUUCUCACGUUUUUGCAUUCAUUUUCAAUUGAAUUUAUGUAUUCUUCAAAUCUAUUUUGAAAUUCACGAUUUUGACCUCUUCAUAGUUUUUCAAUCAGUUCUUGAUGAAUUCUAGCUUGUUUUGAGCCCAUUUUUUUUGUUAAAUUCCUAACUCAUAGAUCUUUAAUUCUGAAAAAAAAACAAUUAGCUUCAAAUUCCAUCCACACAAGUACAGAAAAUUCUCUAAAGUCAGGCCUAAAUUCAGUUGAUAGAUUAGUUCUUUGCAUGAGUGACAGCAUAGCAAGGAUCUACUCUCUUUCUUGGCAUUUGGUUUGCUUCUUUUUCACUUCAUGCUCUUAGAUUUACAUGUUUACUUGUUAGUUUUCAAUUGAUAGCAUUUAUUUUCAUGAAUUUACCUGCUAUUUGGAUGAUUUCUUUGAACAUGCUCUAUUUUUUCCAGUUCUGUGUACUGUUUGAGUUGUUAGUUCAAUGAGCUAGAUUUUUUCUUAUUUGAUGCGAUUUCUUUGUUGAAUUUUGUGAUAAACUUGUUUAUAAAUCUUACCUUAGCUCAGUUCUAAUUCAUUCUCCUUAGAAGUUUCUAGAUCUGGCUUUUUCUUUCCUUAUUAGUAAAAUUCUGAUGCAACUUAGUUUUUAUUUUGAUUUGUUUUAGUACUUUCUUGCGAUUUCUCUUUAGUUUCUGAUUUUCAAACUACUUUCCAUUGUAGUUCUUUAUAUGCUCUUUUAAUUUCCAGCUCAUACUCCAUUAAUUUUGCAUCAUUUAGACCUAGAUUAGUAACUUCAAAUUCAAUUUCUAGAUUUUCUUUUGUUUCAACUUGCGCUUAGAGUUUUUGCAUUUUUUUGCUUCACAUUUGAAGUUCAAACUUAUUCUUGCUUUAGUUCUUCACUUGUCUUUGCAAUUUUAAGUUUGAUUUCAUGUACUUUUUGCCAUUUAGAUUUAGUUCUAGUUCAUGAAAUCACUAUUUGUCUAUAAUAGCUUUGUAUUUUCAGUUUUGCAAGUUUAGUUGUAUUUUGCAUUUAGUAAGUAUUUAUAUUUUUUUAAUAUAAAAAAUGGUUUAUUAUGAAGUGUAAAGACUUGUUUUAUUUUAUUCAGUAGGUUUUUGAGCACGUAAGUAAUCAUGGUUGAAAAAAUAUGGCUGUGUUUCAAGUCUAAACAAU